rnacentral:rRNA from 1 species
CCUACGGGGGGCAGCAGUGGGGAAUAUUGGACAAUGGGGGCAACCCUGAUCCAGCCAUGCCGCGUGUGUGAAGAAGGCCCUCGGGUUGUAAAGCACUUUCAGUGAGGAAGAACGCCUGGUGGUUAAUACCCAUCAGGAAAGACAUCACUCACAGAAGAAGCACCGGCUAACUCCGUGCCAGCAGCCGCGGUAAUACGGAGGGUGCGAGCGUUAAUCGGAAUUACUGGGCGUAAAGCGCGCGUAGGUGGCUUGAUAAGCCGGUUGUGAAAGCCCCGGGCUCAACCUGGGAACGGCAUCCGGAACUGUCAAGCUAGAGUGCAGGAGAGGAAGGUAGAAUUCCCGGUGUAGCGGUGAAAUGCGUAGAGAUCGGGAGGAAUACCAGUGGCGAAGGCGGCCUUCUGGUCUGACACUGACACUGAGGUGCGAAAGCGUGGGUAGCAAACAGGAUUAGAUACCCUAGUAGUC